rnacentral:rRNA from 1 species
UGCGUAGGCGGGCUACUAAGUCUGGGGUGAAAUCUUGCCGCUUAACGGUAAAAUGGCCCUGGAUACUGGUAGUCUUGAGUGUAGAAGAGGCAGGUGGAAUUCGUAGUGUAGCGGUGAAAUGCAUAGAUAUUACGAAGAACAUCAGUGGCGAAGGCGGCCUGCUGGUCUACAACUGACGCUGAGGCACGAAAGCGUGGGGAGCGAACA